rnacentral:rRNA from 1 species
AUAACGACUCUCGGCAACGGAUAUCUAGGCUCUCGCAUCGAUGAAGAACGUAGCGAAAUGCGAUACUUGGUGUGAAUUGCAGAAUCCCGCGAAUCAUCGAGUUUUUGAACGCAAGUUGCGCCCGAAGCCUUUCGGCCGAGGGCACGUCUGCCUGGGUGUCACGC